GAUGAACGCUGGCGGCGUGCCUAAUACAUGCAAGUCGAGCGAACAGACGAGGAGCUUGCUCCUCUGACGUUAGCGGCGGACGGGUGAGUAACCCGUGGAUAACCUACCUAUAAGACUGGGAUAACUUCGGGAAACCGGAGCUAAUACCGGAUAAUAUAUUGAACCGCAUGGUUCAAUAGUGAAAGCCGGUUUUGCUGUCACUUAUAGAUGGAUCCGCGCCGCAUUAGCUAGUUGGUAAGGUAACGGCUUACCAAGGCAACGAUGCGUAGCCGACCUGAGAGGGUGAUCGGCCACACUGGAACUGAGACACGGUCCAGACUCCUACGGGAGGCAGCAGUAGGGAAUCUUCGGCAAUGGGCGAAAGCCUGACGGAGCAACGCCGCGUGAGUGAUGAAGGUCUUCGGAUCGUAAAACUCUGUUAUUAGGGAAGAACAAAUGUGUAAGUAACUAUGCACGUCUUGACGGUACCUGAUCAGAAAGCCACGGCUAACUACGUG
rnacentral:rRNA from 1 species